rfam:Callithrix jacchus chromosome 2, whole genome shotgun sequence
GUGCUCGCUUCAGCAGCACAUGUACUAAAACUGGAAUGCUACAGAGAAGAUCAGCACGGCCCCUGCGCAAGGACGACAUGCAAAUUCAUGAAGCCUUCCAUGUUUUU